CCCAAUGCUGUCAGGUCCCCUGCCAGCUCCUCAUGCAAUCCCAUCUUCUCCUGCAACGUAUCAGUGCCCUACAGUGGGGAACUGGGCUCACUGCAUCUGCCAGCAACUGCAGCACUGCUCCGUUAAGUGGCCAUGCCCAGUGCUAAGCAGUGCAUUGGUGACAGCCUGAAGCCGCUCCCCAGAAAACAACCGCGUUACUCUGGCUACAUACCGCUGUCACGUCAGAUUGGAGUCCGCCUCGCUGCUCCUAUUGGAAACGACCCCUCCUGCUGUUGUGAGCAGUGCUAUGCUGUGAUGUUCACAGGUUCUCCUCCAGACACCGUUACAAUUUCCAGCACGAAUACAAGCCUUUCUAUGCCUGCCACAACCUGCAGUCAUCCAGGGAUCGCCAGGCACUGUCUCUUCCCAGAUGGGUUGCCACUCCAAUGUGAGCUGCUUCUAGCACUGGAGCACAGGAUCAGGCCCACACGCUGGAAACCCAUUCAUCAGUCCACUGCACUCCAGCCAGAGAGAGUACAGGAGGCAGCUUUAGCUUGAGAAAAAGGAAAUGGUGGGAUAAAACCUGCCUCUCUCCAUAGUAUGGAUCCCCCCAACACAUGCACACACGCACACUCCAUCUCUUCUCCCUCUGCAGCACUGAUUGCAAUGGGAGCAGGGCAGGGAGUCAUCCAAGGGAGGCUGCUAACAAAGAAAGGACAAAGAAAGCACAGCUGGUAACACUGGACAGUGGUUUAUUGUCACAGUGCAAGGGCACAGCCCUGACAUGCUGAGAGCACGAAAUGCCUGGGACCAGCCAGGCAAUGCGCAGCACCCCCAGAAUCGGGGCCUGUAUCUAGAGCCAGAGCAAAUGUUUCACGCCCAGGAAAGAAGUUCAGCCAAGCCGAGGUUGUGGGACUUUCCUGUUUGCUCAGCUACUAAGGACACACAGGUAAGUGGGCAGCAAAGCAUGGGAACGGGCUGCCCGGAGAGGUGGUGGAGUCUCCAUCCUUGGAAGUUUUGAAAACCCGGGCAGACAAAGCCAUGGCCAGGAUGAGAGAGCUGGGGCUGGUCUUGCUUUGAGCAGGGGGCUGGACUAGAUGUGACCUUCUGAGGUCCCUUCCCACCUGUGAUAAGCCACUGUCUGGCAUUACCAGCUGUGCUGCCUUUGUACUUUUUUGUUAGCAGCCUCCCUUGGGUGACUCCCUGCCCUGCUCCCAUUGCAAUCAGCGCUGCAGAGGGAGAAGAAAUGGGGACUCCGCAUUCUCUAUGAUUCUGUAAGGCCAGGAGUCCAAGGGAAAAACCUACAGGUGACACCCUGCUACAGGUGUGAUGUUCUUCAUUCAGAAAAAGAAAUUCGGAUCCAGUGACAAUGGAGCGUUGUGCUGUGUCAGAGGAAAGGUGGAGCUGGGCUGAAAGACUGCACAUCUGCAGGGCUCACAACCUCUUGGCAGGGGUAUCCAGAGUUAAAACUCAAAAUAAGGAUGGUACUAAAGACCACUGCAGACACACACGUGCUCCAGUGACUUCUCCAUGCGUGUAUCCCAGCUGCAUUAGGCUUUUCUCACUUAACACAUGUCCAGGCUGAGGCUGUGUCUACACUAGAGCUUUAGCUCCAGUUAAUUGAUUGCCAAGUAACUCCAGGUAGCUUGUAUGUUUGUAAAAGCCAGCUAGGACAUGCCCCGCACCUUUCUCAGGCAAUAAAUGGCUUGGGGAUGCCUGUACUAGCCUUUGCAAACGGGUUUACUGUUUGAAGUUAACUGACCAGGACCAGGCCAUUGAAGUUAGUGCCCAGGCAGUAGACAGAUUAAGAACUAAUUAGCUGCCAGGUUCCUUGUCAUUAAGCCUCUUGUAGCAAGCAUGCGGAGGCUAAGGUCUGGAGCUGCCUUGCAUGGGUUUAGCCCCUGUGUCUUUACUGGCCUGCAUGGUAAAAAGCCAUUUUCAGUUGAAGAUGCUACAUUCAGGCCAGGAGGGAAGGUGCUUCCUCCCCAUGCUGGGACAAUCGAGACUUGCUUGUCCUGCUGAACUCACGUGUGGCUGCUGCAACAAGGUACUUACCGCCCCAGUGCACAGGGCCCCUACAUGCCUCUAGCUUCUGCCUUGAUGGAAAACACUGGAAAGGCGAUGGUCGUAACAGGGAGCCUCCUCUGCCCUCACCUGUGGGCCUUUGAGCCCCGAGAAAUGGACGUAAGCAGCAUCCAGCAGACUCCAACCAUGGGUCCUGUGGGGAACUGCUGUGAACACCUGUCAUUCUCCGUGCCUCUCACAGGAAGGCAAAGGUGCCACAGCCCCUUCCCACCAGGCUGGCUGUCCACAGGCCAUAAACCCCAUGGGAACCUGCAGCAGCCUUGGUGCCUCUCAACACAAGGCCUGGCAUGAGGAGCAGGGCCAGCGUGUGCACGCAGCAAGCAUCAUUGUGGUGGUCCCGGGUGGGGAAAGGGGGCCUUUCAUUGCAGUGAAAUCCAAGGGAUACCUCUGAGCAGCAUAAAUCCUCCCAUUCCCUUGCCAGCUGCAGGGGUGAAGCAGUAGAAAAACAGGGCCCAGCCCCUGCAGAGCACUCAUAAACUUAGUCCCCUUUAAACAGAGCAGCUGUAUUCCAGACUUACAACAGCCAACUUCCAAAGGGGGAAGAGGUGGGGCAGGGGAGCCGUAGCAGGCAGACCUGCAGUGCAGCACAUGGCUGACGUGUGAUUAUGCAGCACAGAUCCAGUCCCAGAGAAAGGAUGGGAUGAGACAGGACAUGACACACCAUGGGGACCGGGAAGGCACAAGAGGUACAGCCAGGAGGAGGCUUGUGGUGAGCGGGCAGAGCUGGCGACAGGAGGGGAGGCUGGAGUGGAGUGGACUGGCAGAGCAGGGUCUAACCCUGGACCCCGAGUGCAGCAGGGAGCUCUCCGACCUUUCGUUAGGUUUAAAUGCCCCACUCUGAAGUGUUACCAGCACAAUUCCUGGUCGGGAGCUUUACUCUAAACACCCCCAGGAAUUUCUGUGUCUAGCCUGGCUCUGCCGCCCUCGCCAUCUGCAUCUCAGUCCAUCUUCCUGGAGGGAAAAGGACCGUCACUAUUUAUAUCUCUGCACUGACACAGAUACGGACCUCCAGCUCAGAAUCUCAGCUUGAAGCCCGGACCGUGAAUCUGAGCUGAGCCCAGAAGCCAACAUUUAAGCACCCGUCCUUCUCCGGGUUGUCACGAGUGUCUAUUCUUAACCAAAUGUUUAAAAUUCACAUUUUCCAGCAUAUGGGAAUGAAAGGUUUUGUCAGAAGAAUUCAAUCCAGCGUCUCAUUUGCAUGAUGUUACUAACUCCAAAAUAAACUUGAGUCAGUCAGUGGUGGGAUGGAUCAGACAUGCCCAAGGACCCUCUAGUGCCCCCCAACACUGAAGCAGGUGAUGUGAUGCAGCAGCUGAUUUCUAUUUCAGCAUCCAUCCAAAGGCCUUUCCAUCUCCCUCAGCCAGCUCAGCACUCGAGCCUCUGGCGAGUCUGCAAUCGCGCACACAUUUGUGCAGCACGGCUGAGGAAGUGAGGUGGGACAUCUCCCCUCACCCUCCUCACAGCAGCAGAACAAAAGCCCCUCACUCUCAGAACCUGCAACAUGCCGCAGACGGUGAGACCCCGACCUUUCAAACAGGAUCAAGGCCCCAGCGGAGCCUGGUGAUACCCACCAUGCGGGAUCUGGCAUAAAAGGCCAGCUCCAAAGGCCACAGAAGCCAGUGGAAAGGUUUCUACCGUUUUCAUGGGCUUUUUCCCUUCCACUUGCAAAGCACCAGGCCUUUUGGGUCUCCAUGAAAACUGCAGGAGGCAAGAAUAAAGACAUUUUAGUAAACUUGCAAACACCCCCACUGGCUCCCCAACCUUUUGCCCUGGCAAAGCGCAAUCUUCUCACUUCCAAAAAUCCUGCCAGUCAUCUUUCCCAUCUCUCAGGCUCCCAUCAGAAAUUGCAGAGGCAUAAAGAACAACCAGGAUUUUAUUGAUUUGAAAAUACAUUUAACCAUAGAGAAUAUAGUUUUAGUAUUUCUUUCUGAACAACAGUAAGGAACAAUUUACAUUAAAAAAAAAACAAACCAAAGCAUGAGUAAAGUAAUAUCAAACAGAUAUUAUACCAUUGUGUGGACUUCCAGUAGGCUAAGAAGGACAUUUAGCAGCACUUCUACAAAUGUUGUAAUAAAAGCAACAAUACGAGUUCAAUCUCAUAUAGACAAUUCCCAGAGACCAAAAUGGCAUCCUAUGUAUAAACGCAGCAAUUCAUUGUAGGGCAACAGAAGGUCUAACACCCAUCCAUAAAAUACAUUCAUCACCCCGCUCUUCUCCCUUAUCCCACAGAGCCUUCUGCCAAGAUGCAAGUAAUUUCCUUGAUCCUUGUAACAGGGCUACAGUCUAAAGUUUCCCCCGCACCCCGACUGAACAAAAGCUAACAUGGGGCUAUAUAUAUGGUUUCAAAUGAUAAGAGCUGCCAACUGUGGGUCCAGCGUUAAGGACGAGUCUUAUUUUAUGCACCAGAGAGGGGUCAGACCUCUUUUAUGUAAAUACAGAUUUCUCCUUCCCAAGCUCCCAGUAUUUCCUCUCUGAGAACAGAAUUUACAAGUAGAUCUGUUAAUCUAGAAGUAAAAAUUAUUUAUUUU